rnacentral:rRNA from 1 species
GAAAAGGAAGGCGUGGGGCUGGAUCGUGGUGCACGGUGAAAACCUAGCCACCAAUCCCUCGCAUCCCCGAACAACCAAUCCCUCCGCUCCCCUCGAGCCCCGCUCCCCUCCUCUCCUGCCCUCCCCUGCGUUGCCGCCUCCUCCCCUUCUCCCCUGCUCUCCACUACGCCGCCUCCUCCGCCCUUUCACUUUUCUCUCCCGCGGCGGCGACGAUCUGCAGGCAAAAGGCGACGCCGACGGUGCUCGAUUCGAUCUGCAGGAGAGAGAGAAGAUAAGAGGGAGAGAGAGAGAAGGAAGGAGAGGAGGGAGAACUCCGUUGCCGCCACGUGCCGUGCUUCUGGAUCGAGCGCUGCCUGACCAAGGGAUAAGAGUAUGAGCUGCUGAAGCAGGUGCGGCGCUGGUGCACUGCUGGCGAAGCGGUCGUCGACGGUGCCGUCGACGUCGUCCUUGGCAGAAGAAUUUUAUUCUCAGCUUCAUCGGCGUCAGCUUCAUCACCAAGAGGACGGACUCCGGAAGGCAGCCCCCUCCUAAGGCGCCAGGGCCGUUGCUGACCAUAUGAUUGGUAGCCUUGGACAGAAGAGGGCCAGCAACAAACAGAAGCAACCACUGUCCUGUCCAGAACAUGGAUCAGCUUUGGUGGCAUCCGAUGCUGCCAGGCCACGGGGUUAGAGCAGAGGAGGCUGACAUGGUGUUCGACAUUCAGAUGGUCAUUGUGAUCGACCAGAUGCGGCGCCUCAUGUCACCCCGAGCCUCCAGGACUUGUUAGCGGUGCUCAUAAAGUAGAAGACUCGGGUAAUGGGCAGGUAGAAGACUCGGGCAACGGUUAAUUGACAAGCACUAUAUACACAAUGCAUCUCUGCUAAUAUAGCUUACUUUAUAAAGCCAUCAAUGUAUGCUAUUAUCAAGUGAUUUGAAUAUUUUAUUUUAAGCUAUCAUAUAAUGGAAUAUAAGUAUCCAUUAACUUGGUUCUAAACCAGUCUAAUAUGCAUGGUUUGAAUGCUCGGCUUGCUCUCCUUUUUGCGUGAUAUGAAUAUUUUCUUUUAAGCUAUAAUGUAAUGGAAUGUAAGCAUUUAUUAAGUUGGUUUAAAUCAAUCUCAUAUGCAUGAUUUUAAUACUCGGCUGGCUCUUUCCUUUUGCGCUAUGGGCGCAACGGGCCAUCUAGCAUGAACAAAGGACAAGCAUAUGCUUUCGCCUUCAAAUGCACUUCCAAAGGAUUGCGCCUGAUCGUCUACUCAAUAUAAGCAAGUUGUCCCUUGUCAUAUAACUUAGCAUUAGGUGGCCUUUGUUUGGGCCACAGCUUGUGAUUCUCAGAUUCUAACCUUUCAAAAUCAGAAUUUGAAACAAACACACUGGAUUCCUAAGUAGCUUCCCAGAAUCGAUUCUAAAAAAUCAACCACGAGCGAAGGGAAGCUGGAUUCCAACGAUUCUUAGGAAUCUGUAGCUCAAACAAAGGGGGCCUUAGUAUAGAUGCCUAUCAAGACAUCUAUGUUUAUCAUCCUUUUGGAUUUUAUGUAAUCCCCUAAGACCAUCCUGUCAUUUAACUGUCGGUUAUUUGCUGCUUAGACUGAUGUCUGGUAUGCUUUUGAAACAACCAUGAUGAAAGAAAUAUAUGCUUCCAUUUUGUGUUUACAUAUUUUAAUGCACACUCUUUCAAUAAUUGGCUUGCAUUCGGCCUUUGCGUCAUCGGCGCAACGGGUCAUCUAGUUGGUGGAACACAUGCUGGGGGCACUGGUGCACGCCUUCGACUGGGAGAUGCCAGAGGGGGCGACGGCGAUGGACAUGGAAGAGGAAUUCGGAC